rnacentral:rRNA from 1 species
CAAUAGUGUAUAUUAUUGUUGCUGUAGUUAAAAAGCUCGUAGUUGGAUUUCGGAAUGCGUCUGUCAAAGCCCGUCCAAGUGGCGUGGCUCGACUGGACGCUUCCUGUCUUUGGGUAACGUCCGUCACUUCGGUGGCGGUUGCGUUCCUAAUUGUUUACUUUGAAAAAAUUAGCGCGUUCAAAGCAGGUUUAUUUGCCUUGAAUAGUUUAGCAUGGGAUAAUGAAAUAGGACUUUUGGCUUAUCUCGUUGGUUUCUAAGCUGACAGUAAUGAUUAAUAGGAUCGAUUGGGGUCGGUCGUAUUCAAUCGUCAGAGGUGAAAUUCUAUGAUUGAUUGAAGACGAACUGGUGCGAAAGCGUCCGACAAGGGCGUUUCCGUUAA